GUGGGGAAUCUUGCACAAUGGACGAAAGUCUGAUGCAGCGACGCCGCGUGAGCGAUGAAGCCCUUCGGGGUGUAAAGCUCUUUCGACAGGAACGAUAAUGACGGUACCUGGAGAAGAAGCUGCGGCUAACUACGUGCCAGCAGCCGCGGUAAUACGUAGGCAGCAAGCGUUGUUCGGAAUUACUGGGCGUAAAGCGUGCGUAGGCGGUGGCUCAAGUUUGGUGUGAAAUCUCCCGGCUCAACUGGGAGGGUGCGCCGAAAACUGAGUUGCUCGAGUGUGGGAGAGGUAGGCGGAAUUCCUGGUGUAGCGGUGAAAUGCGUAGAUAUCAGGAGGAACACCGGCGGUGUAGACGGCUUACUGGACCAUAACUGACGCUGAGGCACGAAAGUGUGGGGAGCAAACAGGAUUAGAUACCCCUGUAGUCC
rnacentral:rRNA from 1 species